UUUUUUUUCAUUUUUUCUUUUUUGGAUGCACAGUUAUUGUGGGUUUGUUUGCUGAGACUAUUUCGAUUCAAACAUCAAUUUUCUCUCGUCACGAAGUUUUUCAGAAGGGGUUUCAGACCUAUGAGCAGUACUGGAGAUAAAAUCCACUUACUGCGAAUUGAAUUUACGUGUUGUCCGGUUGGGUUGAAUGGCAAAGCAAAUCUGGCCCAAUUUCCCCAGAACGAAGAAGCCCACUUUUGGUUGUCAAUUUGUGUCGGAAUUCACAUUUUAGUCAGAUUCGUGAUUCUGACCCUCAAGGAAUUGGGUGAAAACUUGAAAUCUCAUUGUUGGCCCUUCCUGUUCAUCUAAUUUUAGAUUGUAUGUCCCUCCCUCACAAGUAUCCAUUGCUGUCUUUGCCACCAGCCAUGACCGACGCCGGCGCCGCCCCUCCACCUCCAACUUUGACGUUCCGACUGGAACCUCCUGGUCGGGAGCUCAGGCGAGCUCAGCAAGCCCCGCCAUCUCUUAUGUUGAGCUCGUGCCGAGAUAGCGAGAUCACCGGCACCCCUCGAGCUUUGCCAUCAGUUCGUGUUCAUCGGUUGAAAUAAGGAGGGGCAUGGCCAGCGCCGAAAGUGGUCGGUUAGACUGUCGGAAGUGGAGGUGGAUUUGGAGGGGCGGUGGCUGCUCCUUUCGCCCGUCGAUUUUCUCUCUCUCAGCCAGCCUAGGUUCGCCAAAUCGGCAAAUCGGGGGCUCGGACCCUUGGAUGGGUUCGCGGGGGGCAGGGCUAACCCACCCCUGGUGCUCGCGAGCGUUGUGGCCCCGGAGCCAUGGGAUCACCGGGGCUUAUACAAAUUCGAGUUUGUUCAUCUGGUAAUAUAUUCCAGUUAUAAAGUAUAUUUGAAAAUUAUAAGUCAAGGUUCCCAUGGAUGGUUAUGAAGUUCGCUUUCCUUGAUAAUGUCUACUUCAUAAACCAGACGGGAGAAGUGACAUAACAGGGGCAUGGCCCCAGAAAAUGGCGUGGUGCAGGAGAAGAAGACACCUAACGAUAUUCCAGACAUAUCUUCUAUGAGCAGGAGCGAUUUUUUAUUUUUAUGAUAUGAUGGAAACUGAUCAGGAACGAUUAGAUGGAACUUUGCAAUUUGCAUCUGUCUUUCGAGGUGAAGAUUUUGCAGCUAAAAGAAUCGUGCGGUUUCUUCUUUUUCUAAAAUCUGUGAACUGUACUGAGAUAUAUAUGAGACCAUCUCUCAGUUCUUGAUGGAAGAUAGAGUGGGGGUCCACAUGGAGAUAGCACUAGGAACGGGUCGAUAUUUUGCAACCGUACACGAAGAUGGCUCGAGGGGCCAUGGGAGGGUACAUGUUAGCCUAUUCGGCCCCAGAACUUCGAAGCUAAAAGGAAUUUUACAAUUUUUUUUUCAAUUGUUUAAUUCCUUAACUCGGAAAAGUUACUUUCUUAAUCUUCCCCUCGAGGACAAGCCCAUUCCCUCUCGAUUAAAA